rnacentral:sRNA from 1 species
GCUGUGUGUGGUGGUGCACACCUGUAAUCUCACUACUCUGGAGGCUGAGGCAGGAGGAUUACAAGUUUGAGGCCAGCCUCAGGAACUUAGUGAGACCUUGUCUCCA